GACGAACGCUGGCGGCGUGGAUUAGGCACGCAAGUUGAGCGACAGACAGGCUUCGGCCUGUUAUGGAGCAGCGAACGGGUGAGUAACACGUGAACAAUCUGUCCCCACAUUCCGGAUAAUUGGCCGAAAGGCCUUGUAAUACGGGGGAGGGUCCCGAGAGAGCAUUCUCAUGGGAAGGAAGGCGCAAGCCGUGCGGGGAGGAGUUCGCGGCCUAUCAGUUAGUUGGUGGGGUAAGGCCUACCAAGACGACGACGGGUAGCUGGUCUGAGAGGAUGGUCAGCCACAUUGGAACUGAGAUACUGUCCAGACUCCGUACGGGAGCUGCAGUCGAGAAUCUUGGGCAAUGCACGAAAGUGUGACCCAGCGACGCCGCGUGAAGGAUGAAGG
rnacentral:rRNA from 1 species